UACGGAGGAUCCAAGCGUUAUCCGGAAUCAUUGGGUUUAAAGGGUCCGUAGGCGGUUUUGUAAGUCAGUGGUGAAAGCCCUUCGCUCAACGGUGGAACGGCCAUUGAUACUGCAAGACUUGAAUUAUAGGGAAGUAACUAGAAUAUGUAGUGUAGCGGUGAAAUGCUUAGAUAUUACAUGGAAUACCAAUUGCGAAGGCAGGUUACUACCUAUAUAUUGACGCUGAUGGACGAAAGCGUGGGGAGCGAACAGG
rnacentral:rRNA from 1 species